rnacentral:lncRNA from 1 species
UCUCUCUCUCUCUCUCUCUCUUUCUCUCCUUUUCCUUCCAUGAUGUCCAAUGACAUCAGGAGUGAUGUAAGGAAAAGCUGAGUCCCUGGUUCAACUUGAGCGUGCCCCCCCAACCCCCAAUAUGAUGAUGUCAUUCAUGCUUCAGAGCCAACCUGUAAAUAUGAAUACAGUGUGCUUCUUAUCUGAUACAUGAGGCUCCCUGUGGGUAGGGAACACACCCACCAUCACAAAGAUGGUAGAUGGUGGACUUGGGAUUUAAAAGUAACUGCUUUAAUCUUAAAUCUGUGAGUAGCUGUGGUGUAUAACUACAUCACCACUUUAGUUCUUCAUGGCACUGGUCUAAAUGUGACCUCUCUUCAGAAAGGUCUAAUGGUGACUGAUUUCUGGUGAGACCCUCCCAAUCUGGUUACCUUCUCUACUCUUUAGGCAUUGAAAUGGUUCUUUACACUUAAAGAAAAGAUAAACCUGGCACUUGCCAGCACUAUGCCCUUUUCAUGGCCCACUGGACUUUUGAGGGUCUCCAAUGAGAGUUUGGCAUUUCACUGUUGAUGCUUCAUUUCUCUACCAUAGACCUUUGUGAUGCCUAAGGACAAAUGUCUCUAUUUGUGUCACAAUAGCACAGCCACACCAUUUUACAUUCUUUUGGGUUUGGGAGGAUAGAUCAAGUUCAUUUCCAACCUCAUAUCUCACAGCCUCCAAAACCCUAACAAAGCAGAUUAAACUGAAUUAAUACAGAUACUCUACAUGUAUAUACCAUGUGACAAGUUACUUCAUUCUGUCCUUUCCUGAUCCUUGUCUAUAUAUUAAUAGACAUGGUUAUCUCCUACCAUAAGAAAAUCUUUCAGAGGACAUAUUUUCUCGGAAAACUAAAUUAUCUUUGUUACUGAACAUCUAUGAAUGAGUUAAUUUUUAAAUAUUACUGACUUGGAAUACAUUGAUGGAAAAUAACUUUUCAAAGUACACUUAAGUUGCUAUUAUGGGAACAUACAUCUUCUGCUUCACCCAGAUUCUAGUUUAGAUUACAGAUUUUCAGAUGCAGUUUACAUCUAAGCAGUCUAUAGACUAUAUUUAGGAGGCCUCAAAUACUAUUGCUUAAAAACGUGCUUUAGAAUUGGAGUUUUUUGCUACUUGUGUCCAAGUUGCAUAGUGUAAUGAAGACAGACAUCACACAAUAAAGUAGGUAUCAUCUAGAAAAAUAUGUCGUGAUUUUUGGAUCAUUGAUAAUCUCAAAAUUUUAUCUUCAAGUGAUGCUCAGCUUUGGUAAAACAAAAUUGAAAAUAUAAUAAACAAACAAUGAAUGAAUGAAUGAAUGAAUGAAUAAAUAAAUAAAGGUGAGACCAUGUAUAAUUUUUAUGGCAAAAUGAAGCAUUUUCUAGAUCUUUCAAAAACAUCAUCAAAGUAUUUUCAUUGCAUAAAAAUAUCUUUUAUUCUGACAAUUUUGUACACGUGUACAGUAUUCUUUGAUCACAUCAAUCCUUGUUUGGCAGGUGGAAAGGAUGGAGCCUAUGCAUUUUCAGAGAGAUCUUCAAAUGAGAUAUUUAAACUUUGCUCCAGAGAACCCUUCCUAAAUUUUAUGACAACAGAGGCAGUUCUUGGCUCAUUUUCAUAUUUGCUGUAGUGAAAAGGCUAGAAUUAUGAUGCAGAAAAGAGAAGCUUUUAUAGAACACCAUGAUACUGAAUCAGCUGAAAUAAAAUUUUAUGUGGUAGUCCAUUCUUCAGUUCCGACAUGAUUUAUAUGUGUGCUAUGACACUUACACAUCCACUUUAUAGAUGAUUAACUAUUUAGUCAAACCUUAUAUUUGUGGAUAUUUGUGGGGUAACAAAGUUCAUCAGGAUCUUGAUCAGAAGAAGUAAACCCCACAACCUGGUGCCUGUUGUCUUCCUGUUUAAUUAGAGCAUCAUUUCACCAGCAGAAUAUCCCACUUGAGUACAAAGAGGGUUGCUAGAUGUUUUCUAGUUCCCACAGUUAAAAUAUUCUAUUCUGCAAUGCCAGAGAGCUUGUAUGUGAGUGUUGGAAAUAAGCAGAAAGUGAAAACCAAAGUAUUGAAGUAAGAGGAGAAUCUAAAGUCCCUGUGUCCAUCACACAUGGGGAAACAUUAAAUGAAUGUGAAGCUGCAUCUAUUGAUAGCUAUGAGAGUUGUCCCAUAAACGUAUCAGCUUUGGCUCCCAGCAUUCAUGGAGGAGACUCAAGUCCUAUAGAAAUCAUAAAGUCACCAGGUAAAGUUAUGUUUGACUCUGUUUCUAAAAUCUAUAACUGUCCUUUCUUUCUGAUGAAACCCACCAUCAAAUAUAGAUGACUACUUCCUUGAUAUCACCGUCCCAUUUAUGCAAUUUAUAAGAAUGGGGACAGUGAGUCAUUGAUUCUCAAAUGAAGUAUGUGUCUAUAUAUCCCAGCUUUCUGCAUAUAGUACUCAAAAGAAUUCAGCAGUCUUAAGAUUUAAGAUACACAGGGAAAGACUGAAAAAUCUCCUUAAAACUUGUAGCUAUUUGCUUCCUUGCUUGUUUUUAUGAUAAAAACAACAACAACAACAAAAAUACCACCUCUCUACCUCUCUGGUGCUCAGUUAAAUGUUCUUUUACUGGCUUUUGUUGUUUUUGUUUGCUUGCUUGCUUUGUUGUUGUCUUUGAUUUCUUGAAACAGGAUCUCAUGAUGUAGCCCUGGCUAUCUGGAGCUCACUAUGUAGAUCUGGCUGGCCUCCAAUGCACAGAGAUGUGCCUGCCUCGGUCUCCCACAUGCCAGGAUUCAAAGCAUGUUUCUCCAUGCCUGUCUACAUUUUCUAUUUUGAAUAAUGUUACUCAUAAACACAAACAUCUCUCUCCUCCAAAUGAUAUGCAAAGUAAUGUUACUUUCUCACUUUGUUAUUCUAUAUUAAAUGUGACUCUUCAUAAUCGUUCAAUCUUAAUUAAAUUGUUCUCUCAUAUACUUUACCAGAAAAGUUGAAUCUCAAGUCAGAUAAAAGUAGGAGUUGUUAGAUUUCUUUUUUAUUUAAAUCUGAAAAUUGGAUGAUUUGGAUGAUAGACUGAGUACUCAUCAAAGCAGGAAUUAGUCUUAACAGUGCAUCAAAACACACAUUUUUAUGUUUGUGUAAUUAAGUUUUAAUAAACAUGUUUGAUGGUUACUUGAAAAACAUAAUUUUUCUAUGCAGGAAUGACAUCUUAUACACUAUGAUAUAAAGAGACUUGCAAGACCAUUUGUUUUUAAUUAUAUUUUGAUUAUGAUAAGCAUUUGUUAUUUUUCUAAGUAAAGAUUCAAUUAAUCUUAUAAAUAGAUUUUCUAAAUUUGAGGCUUAAAGGCGAUAUGUCAGACACAACUCUGUAUAUGCACUGCAGUCAGUUUGGGCUUUUUCUGACAUCUUCUAGAAUAUUUGUUAUUGUGUGCAACAUUUUAAUUAGGGCCACAGUUUUGAAAGUGUUUACAAGAUUUCUGUAAUACAAGUGUUCUGUUAAAUGAAUCGUUAGUCAUUAAGAAAUUACAUUUGGAAUUAUUUUUUAGAUUGCUAGUUGAGUUUUUAUUUCAUUCUUGGCUUUUUACAUUUUUAGACAUGGUACAUUUUUAUUACCAGUUGACACCUUGGAAUUAUUCAAGUAAAGCAUGAAAUCAAGAUGUUUUAGACCCACAUAAACAUACAUGGCUCAAGGAAACUAUAACUGAUGGAAAUUUGAGGUGGAGGCACCUUGCAUCUGUUCUGGUGCAUAAAAAAUUGUCUAAUACCUAUUUGAGAAAAAUUCAAGUAAAUACUUUUGAAAUAUAUUGUAAUCACCACUAAGCAUCACAGCUAAAAGCAGGUUUUAAAAGCAUCUUAUGAAUGAUGAGACCAGGAUGUGGCUUUAGGAGCGGGGCAUGGUUCAGGCUGUCAGAGCCAACUCAGUAGAGUUGCUAGGAGGGGGCAUGGUUCGGGCUGGCAGAGCCAGCUCAGUAGAGUUGCCUUUUCUCAGUAAUCCAGCAUGGGGACUAUUCCUUGGCUCGUCGUGGGAACACAAGGCAACAGCGAAAGUUCUAUAUCCACUUUCAAUUGCAAAGAGGAGUCUGGAGAAAAACGAUUAAUU